AUGCCCAGCGUUCUUGGCUCUAGUGGGCUUGGCUGGUGAUUUCUCCAACUUGUGGGUUGGGGCGGUGUGUUUUUCGAUGAUGGAUCGGAUCUGUGGGGAGGGCUUGUGGCGCUGGAUGUGGCCGAGCGGUCUGGGGGCGGCGUUGUGGGUUUGUCCGCAUUUGCGAAUGAGGGGCGGAGCGUCCGGGUGGUUGCGUGGUCGAGGGACUUCUCUUCUGGUCCUGUCUGUGGGGUCGGUGUCGGACGCAGUGCACUUGGUGGAGUGGGUGUGGUCAGUGAGUGGUCUGUGAUGCUCCGGUUUAGGAGUGAGGACGG
rnacentral:lncRNA from 1 species